UAAACACUGUAAUUUCAUCUUAAAAAUUGGAUAAUAGGGUGAUUAAAUAAUAAUGGAAAAGUAAAUCAUUUGGAUAAUAGGUCAAAUUGCAACACAAAUGAACGUUAAUAGUGCUCUUAAUAUCAACGUUUCGGUAAAAUGUUUGGCGCAUCGUAUACAGCCUCAUAACAAUAGACUGAUAACCUUUUGGGUAGUAAAGUAGUAAUACAAGGCAAGAUGGCGACCGUUAGCCACGAGGCCUAUCUUACGGAGGAAUCCGAGAUAGCCGAUGUAUCACGAUUGUAAAACGUAUAGAAUUUCUCAUGUUUGGUUCCCGAUCUCUGCCGACAGUGUAAGGGAAAGAAGCCAAUCUUAUUAUCAUAGUACGAACAGGGUACCACGCUAGGAUUUUACAUCUACCGUGCAGGUAAAGAUAAUCACUAUAAACAAAGAUAUGUGAGUAAGUGCCAAACAAACAUUGAAUCAAACGGCACACGAAUUUCUAGACCCAAACAGAUUGUUAACCCAAAACAUGGAUUUCAAUUGGUUAUAUGCAAUUGUUCUGUUCAAACAUGUAUUGUUCGAUCGGUCGUCUACACAUUCUGAUUCAAUCGGGAACUCGACAAGCUUGGAGUUAAAAAUUUCGGCGGAUUGUCCGGCUACGACCAAUUCUACCCAUGGACAGUGGUCUGAGAGUGUGAAGGACGGCGGGAUAGAAUGUGAGCUGAAGUGUGAUGGAGGCUACGAACCAAACAAAUGUAACGUUUUGUUAAACACGGGGAACGGCACAUGGAAUAAACAAGUCCCACACUGUGUCAAAGAACCUUGGACACAUACGAUUUGGGGAAAACUUAUCCUUUCGGUAGUGGCGGGUGUUGGUGGAGUCGUUGCAGUUUCACUUUGCAUCUGUUUAAUCGGUUUCACGUGUUGCGGAGUGCGUGGUGGUUCAUAUGCUGCUUAUAUCCAGGUUCCAGACACUGAAGCCGGAAGUUGCUUUGCUUGCUGUCAGAGCACAGGUGCCAAGGGGUGUUCUGCAUGGUUGUUGGUUCCGUUUAUCGUGGCCUUUACAGUCACAUGUGUGUUGUUGUUCGUCUUAAGUAAUGCAACAUGCUAAUUAGACCAAGAUUGGAAAAUAAUAUCGGAACAAUGAUGUUUUCCUUUUACAAAUAUUAUUAUUUGAUAUCAAAUUAAAUCUCAUGAACAGACAAAAAUAUGUAUAGCUCGGAAUAACUACAAUAGACAAUUUAAUUUGAAAUUAAUAUCGGAAAAAAUAGGUUUUACAAAUAUCAUUAUAUGAUAUCAAAUGUCAUGAACAGAAAAAAAAGUAUUUAUAUACCCGAAUUACUACAGUAGAAAAAUUUAAUUUUUAUACGAAUUGCUUCCAAUAUGGACUUUAGAUCCAUGAUUCGGACUGAUACUUUAAUGUAGAUAAAAAUAUAUUAUUUUCACACAAAUUAAUGAGCGCGAAAAACGUUCCUAGAAUAUCACAUUCGGUAUACUCAGUUUAUUGAUGCAAAGUUAAAAUAUAUGUAAAUAUAUGCAUUAUACAGACAUGACAAUAGCUUUAUAAACAUUCAAAUAUUAAAAGCUGUUUUAGCUUGUUUAUUACUACCACUACAAGUUUUCUGUACAAGUCUUUCUGCGAAUAAUAUGUUUUUGCGGAGGUCAAUAUUUGUAGUCUCCGAUUGAUGUUUUUUAUAUUUAAAACUGUCAUUUCUUUUGUUGUUUGACAUAAAAAAAUUAAUUUGAAAUAUAACCGGAAUGCGUUUCUUUUCAUAUUUUAGUUGUUGCAUUUAAAAUGAUAACUUAUGUUGAACAGAACCAUGAUUAAUAUUACUGUAUACAAGACUUCUAAUAAAAAAAGUAUUAAUUGACAGUUUUUCCAUUUACUUCAUAUUUCGUGAGCCGUGUGCUAUGUAUUUUAAGGGCUAUGUUCUUUUUUUAAAUUCAAUAUAAGACAUACAAUAUAUAUAUGUAUAUGAUCACAAAAAAGUGAUACCAUGUAGCAGCAAUAAUGUUUAAACAUGUUAUACAAUAUAUGCUAAAAUAUACUUUUUUGACCUUGUGGUUUCCUUUUGAUUAAAAAUAAAGGUUAACCUUGUGGUUUCCUUUUGAUUAAAAAUAAAGGUUAAUAUGUAUUUUUGUCUUCGGUUGUUUAUGAUAGGUGUUGUUUUUUUAAAGAAAAACAACGGAAUAGUUUUGAAUAAGGAUGAGUUGCAUAAAAUGGGUAGAAAGCAUACUGGACUUGUUAAUGAAAGUUUAAUGUGUUUCCAUUUUUGUUCGAAUAUAUGAAGUGUAUCAUUGUUUAGGGCUAUUUCUUUUUCAAUUUGAAUCUUCGGUUUUAAAUAAUUGAUAAACCAGUUUAUUGUAGGUGUUUGUUCACGUAUUUCAUGCUGGAUAUAAAAUAUUUCAUUAAUAUAAUUAUGUAAUUCACAGCGUUAUUAACCUCUUGUAUUUUGAAGGUAUUUACACCUAAACUGAUGUCUGAGAGAGAUAGUUAAACAUUUAAUUGUUGUUUCUCUAUAAUUCUAUGGAUGUAUGUAUAUUGAAAAAUUCUCAGUGUGCUAUCAGUAGUUGAUUUAUAUGGCACGACAAGUAUUUGUUUCCAAUUAAAUUAUUUUUCUCCAAGAAGGUUUUGACAUUUAGUUUGCGCUUAAGAUAUUUCGGCAGGGUUUUUAAUUUGAAGUGAGUACAUGGUAUGUUAUUGGAUUGGUAACACCUUUAAUAUGUAUGGGUAUACUUUUGAUCAAUGUGUAGUUCAUCAGGAAAUUACUUGUAGGUAUUCCGAAUAUGUAGCAUAAGUUAUCAAAAGAAUAGAAGUCGUUUAUUCUGUCGUCGUACAAUUGAUCAACAUAUUAUAUGUUUCGUUCAAACCAAUGUUUAUAGAAAAACGUUUUAUUGUUAGUAGUUAUGUCUUUGAUGUUCCAGAAAAUGAUUUUACUGUUUAUUUUGGUUUCUAAAUUAUGAGUUACUUUACACCAUGCCGAUAGAACAUUCGAUAGAAAAAUGUUUUUGGUUGAAAUUUCAUCUAAAAUAGUAUUGUCGAUAUAACAUUCAAAAAGUAAAGAGUCAUCAUAUGUUUUGAGAAUUUUCUGGUAGAAUAAUUUCCAUUUACUCGUGUUGGUAAUAUCUUUUAACCCAACUGUAUUUGAUUGCAUUCAGGAAUGAAUCUAUAUCCGUUAGUUUGAUACCUCCAUAUUCCACUCGUUGAAUUAAUUGAGUUCGCUUAAUUUUAUCAGGUUUACCGUCCCAUAUGAAAUUAAAUAUUUCUGAUUUUAUAUCUUCAAUAAUAUUAUUUGGUGGUUUUGGGAGAACUGUUAGUGUAUAAAUUAAUUUAGGGAGUGCAAGCGUUUUCAACACGGUGUUUUUACCGAUUAGUGUAAGUUAACGAUGAUGCCAUGAUUUAAAAAAAUAUUAUUUUUUAUUUUUGUCAUUUAAGCAAUAUGUGUUUUUAGAAUUGUUUAAUUUUCAUUGUUUGUAAAGGUUAUUCCUAACGUUGUUUCUUCAUCUGAUGUACAGUUGAAUUUCAUUUCUUUUUAAGAUGAAUAUUUUUCUUUGUUUAAAUUUACCUACUCGUAGCACAGUGCAUUAACUUUUGUUUAGUUUAAGAACCGAUGCCAUUCCGAAAAGGGUUAGCGAUUCUAUAAGAUUAUUUAAUGAGUCAAAAGGGGUAGAAGGAAUCGAAAUAUAAAAUCAAUCGUUUUGCCAAUUUCUUUAUAUUCCUUUACAAUUUUAUAUGUCGACUGCAAUCUAUUUCAAUUUGAGAUGGUUUAAAAUUUGCAAUUUGGUUGAGAGGUAAAUAACAAAAUUGUUAAGCCGUUGAAAUAGAAUUGUGACUCUUAUUAUCCACCAUACCUGGAUUUUUAAAAAGUAGUUACGUUUUAGAACUUUGUUUAGGAUAUUUAUCCAAAAAAGGCAGUUGAAUAAAAACUCAUUUGUUGUUUUAUGACAAUAAUUUUCUGUGAAAUGUUGCUAACUUGACCUUGUAUAUGUAUAUAGCUUUGUAUUUAUUCAACUUAAGAUAGUGCAUAUCCUUCCUAACUUUAGAUUGAGAUUUUGUAAAUAAGUGUAAAAAUGUAUUGGUUUUAAACCAAAAUAUGAAUAAAGCACACAAAUAUUGAAUGUCAAAAA